ensembl:snoRNA
GAGAAACUCCUGAUUAUCCUUUAAUAUCCAGCUCAUUUGUUGUUGUUUUGGUCUGCACUAGGAUGCUAAAGGAAAUAACCCCUGCUCUUUCUGUCUCUAUGGCAGCCUAGAUUGAAUUGGGGAGUAUAUCU